GGCAAGGUUAGGCUCGCAUUUGUUCCAUAAAAACGGAACUGUCAAGCAAAAUAAUCAGUGGCUGAUCACUGGAUCUCGUAUCGGUGUUGCCAAGAGUCGGAAUAAGAGCUACAGAAACAGACUGACACGCACGCGCACACUGGAACCCCACUACCGUUUGAAACCUCAGUCACAGAUACUUCUAAAGCACGAGACAUUCGCCUUCGGUUAGACUGUGCCAUGGAAGCAGUUGAGGACAUAGUCAUUGUCGGAGCAGGGAUAGCAGGACUUGCCACAGCUUUAGGACUUCAUAGGCUGGGCAUAAGAAGCUUG